UGCUGGAUAGCUCAGUUGGUAAAGCACAAGGCUCUUAAUCUCAGGGCUGUGGGUUCAAGCCCAACAUUGGUCAA